rnacentral:lncRNA from 1 species
CACAAACACACAUUAAAGUGUGUUGAACGAGAGAGAACGUGGAGAAGAGGAGAAAGUGAAGAUAAGAAAAAGAAAGGAAUGAAAAAAAAAGGAAAAGGAAAGAAGAAAUCUUGUGCCAACUACCUCAAUCUUGUUUAUUUAAUUCUUCAAGAGGUAAGGUUAAUAAUUUAUGAUUUAGUUUUUGUAAAUUUUUGUUUAGGGUUUUAAAUUUAUAACUUAUACUUGAAAAAUAUGAGAAGGAAGCUAACUAUUUGAGUAUUUGGAGCUAGUUAUUUUAGUGGAUUGGAAAAAAUGAUAAUUAGAUAUUAGGGUUUUGUCAUAUAUGGCUUAAUCCGAAAAUUUGGGGAAAAAUUUGAAUUCUUGUUAUUUUCCCUUGUGAUUGUUUUAUGGUAUUAUUAAGUUAGAUUAGUUGAAAAUAACUUAUCUUAUGCUUGAAUUCUCACUUUGGAUGAAUAUGAAGAAUAUAAGAAAUGAGCUUUUGAUAAGAUUUAUGUAUUUAGUUAAAAGAGAAUUUAAAUAAAGAAUGUGGACGAUUAUUAUCAUGAAAGCUUGUUGAAUCUUUAUAGGGCAGUCAAGAAAUGUUAGUAUUAACGAAUGAGGGAUGUAGAGUGAUUCGAAAUUAAUUGAACGUAUGUUUAAGUAACCAAAUGAAAUAUAAAUAUAAGUCUCAACUUAUUGCUUAUUGAGGGAUAUAUAUUUUAUUUUGAUGAUAAGAAAGGGUUAUUAUUGAGAAAUCUCUUGUAACUGUAUAUGAAUGGAAUUGAAGUAGCUUAUAUUUAUGAUCGUUUCAGGAGGGGAUUUGAACGUGGGAACAGCAUACCGGCCCCGUCGACCAUGUACUAGAGUCAUGUAUUUAACUCUUAUCCACUAAGGGGCUACGGUCGUGGGUAAAGGUAUCUAAUAUACAUUGAGGGGGCUACAGUCAUGUGUAAAGGUAACUCUUAUCCACUGAGGGGCUACGACCGUGGGUAAAGGUAUCCAUUAUACACUGAGGGGUUACAGCCGUGUAUAAGGAUGAUUAUGUUGUUUCCAUCUUGUACACUGAGGGGCUACGGCUGCGUACAGAAUAUUGAUCAGACAGUUUAUGUACAUAUGAUUUAUAGUUUUCAGAUCAUUAGUAGAUGUAUACUUGGGAUAUAUUUUGAUGUGAAUUUUAAGUAUAUAGUGGAUUAUUAGUCUUCAUCUUACAUUUUUCCCGCUUACAGUUCAGCUUUUGGAUUUUAGAUUAUGGUUUUUUGUUAUUGAAUUGUCUAAUGUACUUACUCAUCUGGUUGUGUGAGUGUGUGUGUGUGUGUGUAUAUAUAUAU